UCUCCGUAGGUGAACCUGCGGAGGGAUCAUUACCGAGUGAGGGCUCACGCCCGACCUCCAACCCUUUGUGAACACAUCUUGUUGCUUCGGGGGCGACCCUGCCGUUUCGACGGCGAGCGCCCCCGGAGGCCUUCAAACACUGCAUCUUUGCGUCGGAGUAUUAGUAAAUCUAAUCAAAACUUUCAACAACGGAUCUCUUGGUUCUGGCAUCGAUGAAGAACGCAGC
rnacentral:misc_RNA from 1 species